AACGGAGCUGCAGAACUGACGCGUCGGAAUCAUGGCCGACCCACUUCUCGUCCCCUUCUUCCCAACUCCAUUACUUUCCUUAUUAGGAGAAGCUAAACUUCCCCCCUGACUCUGACCCUUUCUUUCCUUUCUUGAUUCAAUCGAUCGAUUGCCUGUCUUUGCUUCCUUGAUGCUUCUGAGAGAUGGCGUCCGUCCGUCGAACUCUCACGGCGGCCAACAACAUCGACGACGAUCGAUCCUUACACACUCAAACCCUCCCUUAUCGUAACACUGGCCGCCAUCACCCCCUCGCUUCUUCUUCCUCGUCCUCCUCUUCUUCGUCUUCUCCUUCCUACUCUUUCCUCGCGGUGCGCCGGAUCUUCGCCGGCGGAUUCCUCCGGAAGUCCUCCCGUGGCAAGCUGCCGGCGCCGCCGCCGCAGCGCCACCAUCCGUGGAAGAGGAACCUCUUUCGCUUGUUCGUCUUCUUCCUCCUCGGCUUCCUGUUCGGACUUUACCCGUUCGUCGAGCUCGAUGACUUUGGCUUGCGGCCCCACCACUUCUUCGAUUCCUCCUCCGCUUCCAUUAUCAGUAGCAACAACCUUCCGCGCCGUGAUCUCGCCGCGGUCCUCCGCUCUGGACCCAGCGAGAUCGAGCUCGUGCGAUCCGACGACGGCAACCGGCACUCGGAAGCGGAGCCCCCGCCGAAUGAUCACCCGGAGCCCACGCCCAAGAGGAAGCUGCUGAUCGUCGUGACCCCCACGUACAACCGCGCCUUCCAGAGCUACUACUUGACCCGGCUGGGCCAGACGCUGCGGCUCGUGCCGCCGCCCCUCCUCUGGAUCGUGGUGGAGAUGAACUCUGCCUCUAUGGAGACGGCGGAGAUUCUCAUGGGCACCGGCGCCAUGUACAGGCAUCUCGUUUGCAAGAAGAACUCGACUAACAUCAAGGACAGAGGCGUCCUCCAGCGGAACACCGCGCUCGAGCACAUCGAGCGGCAUCGUCUGGAUGGGAUCGUGUACUUUGCCGACGACGACAACAUCUACUCACUCGAGUUGUUCGAGCGAUUGAGAGAGAUCAGGAGAUUUGGUGUUUGGCCUGUUGCAAUGCUUUCUCAAGGCAAAAAUAAGGCGAUACUAGAAGGCCCAGUUUGCAAUGGAAGCCAAGUAAUUGGAUGGCACACUAAUGAGAAAAGCAAGAGACUUAGGAGAUUUCAUGUUGAUAUGUCUGGAUUUGCAUUCAAUAGCACCAUACUUUGGGACCACAAGAGAUGGCAUCGUCCAAACUCAGAUGCCAUUAGGCAACUAGACACGGUGAAAGAAGGUUUUCAGGAGACCACAUUCAUAGAGCAGAUAGUAGAGGAUGAAAGUCAAAUGGAAGGCUUACCAAAUGAUUGCCCGAGAAUCAUGAAUUGGCACCUCCAUUUAGAAGCUAAAGAUCUUGUUUACCCUAAAGGGUGGCAAGUGUCAAGAAACCUUGAUUCUAUUAUUCGCUUAACAUAGAACACGCAGCUUUCACAAGAUCGAAGUUUACAUGCUGGGACAUUCAACCAUGUUUGUCACUAGUAGAGAGUGGUGUAAUGCAUGCCCUAUCAUGAUCAUGCCACUAAACUACCCUUGGCAUCGCCUACACUGAUAAAGCAGAUAAGCAAUUGGCGAGGACGUAUACUGACCCGGUGAUCCAUAUCAGAGAUUUACACGAGGGAAGGAGAUUUAAUUGUAUUGAAAAGGAAGCAAUUUUGAAGCAUACAUCUAAGGAAAGAUACAAGUUGGUUGAUGUUAUGAAUUUGUUUAGUCACUUUUAGUGCCCUAGCUGCAAAUGUCUGGAAUAAGUAUGAUAAUCUGAAUGAAAAAAAAUUAAAUACUUGGAUUAAAACGUUACUUUAUUAAUUGGUGUAAGUUGCUCGUUUAGGAGGCCAGGUGACACCAGGCCUACUGACCCUGCUGCCCGAGUUGUAUAGGCUUGAUAAUGGACUAUGAUUAAGGCACAUAAUUCCAGCCAGGUACAAUUUUGAUCUUCUAAAUUACAAAUUCAUUUAUCAAGCCAUGUGUUAUCUUUUAAAAAAGAAAAUGUAACAGCAAAUUUGGAAAAUGUUGAGAAAAUAUGUGUAGCUUCUUUUGGCUUUCCCUGAAGAUCAAGUUUACUGAAACCCUCCAUCAUCUCUUUUGACAUUGCUGAAAUUUGUUUGCUGGUGACUUGUACAAGACAACUGUUUACGGAAAGCACUUUGCAUGGGACGUUUGCUUGCGGGUGCGUUCUUGAAUGCAAAUCAAUUUUCAUAUCAUAGCGGCUGCUCGAGGACGGGGCAGCACCACCAAGAUUGCAUCAUAUUACAAAAACAUUCAACAUUCUUUCAAGGUUAGAGACCACCAUAAAUGUUAUACUGCUUCAUAUUUGUGGAGAAGCCAGGCGUAUAUAGCCAUUUAUGUACAGACUCACCAUGGGAAGGAUAUCAGUCAUGAUUUUGUUAGAUGCUGCUUUUUCAUUUUCUUUUUACCCCCCCCGCCUUUUCUUCUAAGAAGCUGGCAUCCAGCAUCAAUAUUUUUGUGCUUCA